AACAAAAACAAACCAGACCAAAAGUAUCGAGGAAUUUUGAUUUUUGAUUUUUAACUUUUCCACUCUCUCGAAUCCUUGAGUCCGUGUGAUGAUUCAUUCAAAAUGACGACAUACCAUAUCUAUUUGUGUUUCCAUGCCAACCCUCCAACAAAAACCUGGUAAUCACCGAAAGGGGAAUUCAAGAACUGAAACCCAGAACGUGAAAUUUGAUUAGAUCACCCAUGAGAUUUUGAACAAUUAGAGUAGCUAAUUCCAGAAUAACUACUUCCACUGAAAAAAAGACUUGGAUCAAGUUCGUUGUUCUGCAGAGGAAGAAAAACAAGAAUGGACAAAUAAGGAGGACAAGGAGGAAGAAUCUGUGAUAUUAGGUAGGGGAUGAGUUGAAAGGGAAAACUUGAUUUUUCUGUAGAGGAAUCAGUUGCUCAAUAUUUCCUUUGAUGGAUGGUAUGGUGGAUGCAUUGGACAACAAGAUUCGUCUUGCUGUUGCUUUUAUAGCUUCUAAGAUUGUUUAUGAUCAAUUGCAGUUGUUUUAAUGGUGAAACUAUUCUGGCGAGUUCUGGAUCUAUAGAUCAAUUAAUUCACCUUUGUACUUCCCGUGAGGAUAAUUAUUAUGAUGAACGAUGCCAUGAUGCCAUGUGAUGGGGGUGGGACUUCCGGCGGUUGCAUGAAAUGUAUGGCAGGCGCAUCGCGCAUGCAUGCUAUACUAGUCCCUAUAAAUGGAGGUUGUAAUAUUUGUUUAUUCUGCACAUUGAAUAAAAAUUCUUCCUCUCUUUCCCUACUUUUCUAUCUUUCACACUAGUUGUUGGAUUAAUUGUUUUAAC